rnacentral:rRNA from 1 species
UACGUAGGGUGCGAGCGUUGUCCGGAAUUAUUGGGCGUAAAGAGCUCGUAGGCGGUCUGUCACGUCGGAUGUGAAAACUCGGGGCUCAACCCCGAGCCUGCAUUCGAUACGGGCAGACUAGAGUUCGGUAGGGGAGACUGGAAUUCCUGGUGUAGCGGUGAAAUGCGCAGAUAUCAGGAGGAACACCUAUUGCGAAGGCAGCUCGCUGGGACGUUACUGACGCUGAGACGCGAAAGCGUGGGGAGCAAACAGG